rnacentral:rRNA from 1 species
AGAUUGAACGCUGGCGGCAUGCUUUACACAUGCAAGUCGAACGGUAACAGGCCGCAAGGUGCUGACGAGUGGCGAACGGGUGAGUAAUGUAUCGGAACGUGCCCAGUCGUGGGGGAUAACGCAGCGAAAGCUGCGCUAAUACCGCAUACGAUCUAUGGAUGAAAGCGGGGGACCGUAAGGCCUCGCGCGAUUGGAGCGCCGAUAUCAGAUUAGGUAGUUGG